rnacentral:tRNA from 5 species
GCCUCGGUAGCUCAGUUGGUAGAGCAAAGGACUGAAAAUCCUUGUGUCCACGGUUCGAUUCCGUGCUGAGGCACCA